AAAUCUAUUUUGACAGCUUUGUUUCUCAUAUCCUUACUUUAUUUAAUCUCUGGCAUCAAUGCAACAUGCUCGUCAAAAAUGACAAUUCUACAAAUUCAAUUUUGCAAAACAAAACAAUGUGUUUCGGAUUUGAAGAAGCAAAAGGCAUUUUAAUGAAGAACAUACAAGGUUAAUUCAAUGAAUAAAAAGCAAGUCAAAUUGCAGUGAAGGCGGUGUAACAAUUAUAGAUUUGUUUUAUAGUCUGUGUCUUCAUUUUAGGGGCUGUGUACCAUAAUGCAUGAAGCAACUUCCCUCAAAAAAUCUGGAAGACAAACAAACAAGGCGCUGAUUUAUAGACGCUGGCUAUUGUGUGUUAAUUUCUGUUCGAAACGCAAGAACACUUUUCUGAGCAAUUUUGUGGAUUGUGGACUUAAAGGUGCAUCUCUCUGUCCAGUACUCAAUUGCUGCUUUAUCAUGUUUGGUGACAUCUGCUUCCAUCGCAGCGGCCAUAGCAGCCGUUGAAGGUGGAGUAUUCACCAUCUCUACCAAAAGCCAAGUGCUUCCAAGGCAACAAACUGCAGCAACACCACCAAUUCAAUGAUUCAAGUAGACGCUUCAACAUUCAGUAUAGCCGACCACUAACGCCCUUCUCCUAGCAACUAAGGUUUGGUGCUAGAACAAAUCAAAAAUAAGCUGUAUUGCAACGUAUCCUGCAAUGAACAUGAUUCGAAGUGGACGACAUGCUUUAAAUCCCAUCCAUUAAUAAUCAAGUUUCGUUUCGCAAAUUAAAUGCUAUUAAUGUAUUUUACUUAAAAAAGAAAAUUGUAUGUUAAAUGUAAUUUCAAGUUCUAGAGUAAAUACAAAAAUAAAUAUAAAAAUUUUGGUUUUCCUAAA